UAUGAACUAUAUAUACACACAUAUAUAUAACAUUAUAAUGGCUGCGCCAACGAUCCCAUUCGCUCCAUCAUUUGAGACUAUUUUUUUUCCUCUUAUUCGCCUCCCUCGUAACUAUUCGCAUUGAUUUUCCGUCGUAACGAAACUCGAGCACACAUUUCUCCUAUCGGUAAGAAAAAGCUGUUAAAUUUGAAAAUAUUUGAUCCUUUAUUUUCAGGUGCUGGUUAUCAAUAACGAUUGAGACGCGAGGAGAGUUCGAUGUGAGGAACUCGAUGGAAUUACAUUUCAUUGCACGGAGUCUGGCAACCAAUAGCGAACGUUAUCGACGAAAGAAAUGUGUUUGAGCGAGAAAAAUGAAAAGGAAGGCGCUUAUCCUCCGCAAUGGAAUGUCCGGCAUCGACUGUCGGUGCGGGAAGGAGGGGAUUCUUUCUUUUUUCUGGCCCCCGGCAGUAGUACGUUCGAAUGGUUCGCACAGCGUGUUCCAAGAGUCUACUCGAGUCUACGAGCGCGCUACGGGGAAUGCGGGAUAUGCUUCGUCCGAGAUGGAGAGAGAGAGAGAGAAAGAGCGACGGGGAGGGGGGACAAAGGACGGACGGUGAUGGCAGAGGAAGCAAGGCAAGAUAUCUAUCAACAUUUCAAGAAGAACCGAUGCGAACCGUGGAGCAACUUUUUUUUCGCAGUGCUUCGGGGAAGGCACUGCUCGCGACGUACGCAAGGCGUUGAACGAUAAUUUAUGAAGAACGAAACCGCGUACCUGAGUUGGUGGAUUUGGGAUCGAUCGGGCGUCACAUCGGUGGCCUUACGAUCGCCUAUCGGAGCCGCACAUUCGUAACUCCGCGCGUUCCAUCCGUUUGCCUCGUUCGUUCCUCCCCGCCGCCGUGUCGCUUCCCUGACACAGGCAUCGACCCUAUUUGAACACAGAAAUAAAGAAAGAAUGACAGUACGGACGGGGUUAGCGCGAGAGAUGAGAAGGAAUGUGCCGCUGCGAGGAAACGCUCGUUUUAUUCGCAACAGCACUCGCCGUGGAGCGAUGCGACGGAUCGAUACGACACGAAAAAUCGUUCGAAUUAACAUUCCACGGAAUAAAUAUGAAACUCACACGCAA